rnacentral:lncRNA from 1 species
UUUGAUCCUAAAUAAUUCCAUUUCUCUCUCUCAAUUAUACACAUUUAAAUAAAUAAAUACAUCAAUUUAUUUUUAUAUUGUAUAAAUAUAAUUAUUUGAUCAUGUAAUAUAUAAACAUAAAAUAAUGCUAUAUUGACAAUUGUGUUAAUAGUUUACGAGAAUUGGAUUAAAUCAAAAUUUUAUAUAUAAAAUUGCAUAAAAUCAAAAAUUUUGUAUAAAAUUACACAUUAAACUAAAAUUUAU